CGAAUCCUAAGGUGUUUGUGAAGCUUAUUUCACUGUUUUGACCGAACAACAAAUCGUUGGGAAUUCAUAUUUUGCUUUGGCGAACAAGCCCUGCAAACGGAUGAGGGAAGUUUAAAGAAGUAAAGAGGGUACCCACCUGUGAAUAAGCGGGUUCAAAACGAUGCUUUCCAUGCUUACGGCAUUUUGGGAUUCGU
rnacentral:other from 1 species